UACGUAGGGUGCAAGCGUUAAUCGGAAUUACUGGGCGUAAAGCGUGCGCAGGCGGUUUUGUAAGUCUGAUGUGAAAUCCCCGGGCUUAACCUGGGAAUGGCAUUUGGGACUGCAAGGCUUGAGUUUGGCAGAGGAGACUGGAAUUCCUGGUGUAGCAGUGAAAUGCGUAGAUAUCAGGAGGAAUACCGAUGGCGAAGGCAGGUCUCUGGGCUAGAACUGACGCUCAUGCACGAAAGCGUGGGGAGCAAACAGG
rnacentral:rRNA from 1 species